GUCCUCACUUCAGCAGCACAUAUACUAAAAUUGGAAUGAUGCAGAGACAAUCAGCAUGGCCCUGCACAAGGAUGACAUGCAAAUUCAUGAAGUGUUCUAUAUUUUU
rnacentral:snRNA from 1 species